AUGAUGUGAGCUGCUUCCUUCCAUCUGCCACACUCUCCUCCUAUGAUAUUCAUCCUCACCUCAAGCCCUGUGGAAGGGAGCUGGCCUUCUAUGGACUAAGAACACUGAAACUGUAUUUCUGCCUGGUCAAAGCAAGAACAAGCAAAGGCAUGCACCUGUACCGUUUGAUCCAACAGCCACAUUGCAAGCCAAGUCAACGCUUCGAAGAAUUUCUUUAAUAAAAUGUACAACAGUAAAUCAGCAAAA